GACGAACGCUGGCGGCGUGCCUAAUACAUGCAAGUUGAGCGAUGAAGAUUGGUGCUUGCACCAAUUUGAAGAGCAGCGAACGGGUGAGUAACGCGUGGGGAAUCUGCCUUUGAGCGGGGGACAACAUUUGGAAACGAAUGCUAAUACCGCAUAACAACUUUAAACAUAAGUUUUAAGUUUGAAAGAUGCAAUUGCAUCACUCAAAGAUGAUCCCGCGUUGUAUUAGCUAGUUGGUGAGGUAAAGGCUCACCAAGGCGAUGAUACAUAGCCGACCUGAGAGGGUGAUCGGCCACAAUGGGACUGAGACACGGCCCAAACUCCUACGGGAGGCAGCAGUAGGGAAUCUUCGGCAAUGGACGAAAGUCUGACCGAGCAACGCCGCGUGAGUGAAGAAGGUUUUCGGAUCGGAAAACUCUGUUGGUAGAGAAGAACGUUGGUGAGAGUGGAAAGCUCAUCAAGUGACGGUAACUACCCAGAAAGGGACGGCUAACUACGUG
rnacentral:rRNA from 1 species